rnacentral:rRNA from 1 species
UACAGAGGUCUCAAGCGUUGUUCGGAUUCAUUGGGCGUAAAGGGUGCGUAGGUGGCGAGGUAAGUCUGGUGUGAAAUCUCGGGGCUCAACCCCGAAACUGCACUGGAUACUGCCUUGCUUGAGUACUGGAGAGGAGAUUGGAAUUUACGGUGUAGCAGUGAAAUGCGUAGAUAUCGUAAGGAAGACCAGUGGCGAAGGCGAAUCUCUGGACAGUUACUGACACUGAGGCACGAAGGCCAGGGGAGCAAACGGG